rnacentral:rRNA from 1 species
UGCGUAGGCGGUUGGGUAAGUCAGACGUGAAAUUCCAGGGCUCAACCCUGAAACUGCGUUUGAUACUGCCUGACUAGAGUACUGGAGAGGAGACUGGAAUUCACGGUGUAGCAGUGGAAUGCGUAGAUAUCGUGAGGAAGACCAGUGGCGAAGGCGAGUCUCUGGACAGUAACUGACGCUGAGGCACGAAGGCUAGGGGAGCAAACG